GGCAACCAAAGGAAGGGCAGGGAAUGAGGACAGAGUGUCUCCCUCAGGCAUGUGACUUUUCUAUGGCAGGCCCCUUUACAGUCACAUUAUGCCCCAUCCUUCCUAUAACAUGGGAGAGUCUUUCUUUUUAGGAUUUAGUGGCUCAACAGGUUUGGAAGGACUUGGGAAGGGGAGGCUUCCCUGAGUUCUGUUGCUGGGAGAAGACAGGCAAUUCAGUAGGUCAAAUGGCAAAGCCUCCACAGCCAGUGAGUGCUGAAGCCCAGCUGGCAACCUCACAUCUUUACUGAAAAAGAAAGAAUGCAGGUCACUGAAUCCAAGGCAACCUGUGGAAAGAAGAAUUCAGAUGUCAGUGGGAGCCUCCAGGUGGGAGGAGAGCAUGCCUAAACCCUGGUGGCCAUUGUUCUGUACUAAGGAACAACAUUCCCUUUGAAAGGACAUUAUUUGCCUGUUGUAUUUAACUUCACAGUGCCUUGCAAAGAGUUGUUUAACUUGCAUGGUGCCACCC
rnacentral:lncRNA from 1 species